rnacentral:rRNA from 1 species
CAUGCAGUCGAGCGGUAAAGAUCUAGCUUGCUAGAUGCUGACGAGCGGCGGACGGGUGAGUAACGCGUAGAAAACUGCCCAGUAGUGGGGGAUAGCCCGGUGAAAACCGGAUUAAUACCGCAUACGCUCUACGGAGGAAAGGGGGCUUCGGCUCUCGCUAUUGGAUGUGUCUGCGUGGGAUUAGCUAGUUGGUGAGGUAAGGGCUCACCAAGGCGACGAUCUCUAGCUGGUCUGACAGGAUGAUCAGCCACACUGGAACUGAGACCGGUCCAGACUCCUAUAGCAGGCAGCAGUGGGGAAUAUUGCUCAUGGGCGCAAGCCUGAUGCACCAUGCCGCGUGUGUGAAGAAGGUUUCGGGUUGAAAUCCUUUCAGAGGGAGAAAAGU